GCGGUGACACAGUGGAGCCGGAUCCCCUAAACUUGGCUGGGAAAGCUGAUAACCAUCCCCAUAACCCCCUGGUUCCCGGAGGGGCGCGCGGUUCCUUCCACCAGCCCCGACCCCGGCAGCCCUGGACCUCAGCUCGGCAGAUGCCCCCCACCCAGCCGCCGGGACUUUAGCUCCGCGGAUGCCCCCCACCCAGUGGAAAAGCAAAGAGCGAGGCGGCGGCGGAGGGGAGGCGGAACUCGCCGGCGACUGCAGAGGAUUCUCCCAGGCCGAAGACCGCAGCGGAGACUUAACUUUCUGGCAGUGGGCAGUGCUGAGGAAAUGCCGCAGCCUGCUCCCUGGGGGUGUCCUUAGUGUGAGGAGGAGGGGACAAAGCUGGAGGAGCUGGAGGCGGCCCACUUAACCGGGCUGGAGCUCCGGUUUUGCUUUCUCUGGGAAUAUUUUUGCCUAAUAGAAUGUUUAUGGAUCGCU